rnacentral:rRNA from 1 species
CUUAAAUUGAAGAGUUUGAUCAUGGCUCAGAUUGAACGCUGGCGGCAGGCCUAACACAUGCAAGUCGAGCGGAAACGAGUUAUCUGAACCUUCGGGGGACGAUAACGGCGUCGAGCGGCGGACGGGUGAGUAAUGCCUAGGAAAUUGCCCUGAUGUGGGGGAUAACCAUUGGAAACG